rnacentral:rRNA from 1 species
UGGGGAAUAUUGGACAAUGGGCGCAAGCCUGAUCCAGCGACGCCGCGUGUGUGAAGAAGGCCUGCGGGUUGUAAAGCACUUUCGAUGGGAACGAAAUGUGCCGGGUUAAUACCCCGGUAAGCUGACGUUACUCAAUGAAGAAGCACCGGCUAACUCUGUGCCAGCAGCCGCGGUAAUACAGAGGGUGCGAGCGUUAAUCGGAAUUACUGGGCGUAAAGCGCACGUAGGUGGCGACGUAAGUCGGGUGUGAAAGCCCCGGGCUCAACCUGGGAACUGCGUUUGUGACUGUGUUGCUAGAGUGUAGCAGAGGGGGUGGAAUUCCACGUGUAGCAGUGAAAUGCGUAGAGAUGUGGAGGAACACCGAUGGCGAAGGCAGCCCCCUGGGUUAACACUGACGCUCAUGCACGAAAGCGUGGGGAGCAAACAGGAUUAGAUACCCCCGUAGUCCCUGAGCGGGCUGGCAAGGCGCAU